rnacentral:rRNA from 1 species
CAUAGCGGAGGAAAAGAAACCCAACAGGGAUUGCCCAGUAACGGCGAAGUGAAGCGGCAACAGCUCAAAUUUGAAAUCUGGCUUCGGCCCGAGUUGUAAUUUGUAGAGGAUGCUUUUGGUGAGGUGCCUUCUGAGUUCCCUGGAACGGGACGCCAGAGAGGGUGAGAGCCCCGUAUAGUUGGACACCGAGCCUCUGUAAAGCUCCUUCGACGAGUCGAGUAGUUUGGGAAUGCUGCUCAAAAUGGGAGGUAUAUCUCUUCUAAAGCUAAAUACUGGCCAGAGACCGAUAGCGCACAAGUAGAGUGAUCGAAAGAUGAAAAGCACUUUGAAAAGAGGGUUAAAUAGUACGUGAAAUUGUUGAAAGGGAAGCGCUUGUGACCAGACUUGUGCCGGGCUGAUCAUCCAGUGUUCUCACUGGUGCACUCUGCCCGGCUCAGGCCAGCGUCGGUUCUCGCAGGGGGAUAAAAGCGGCGGGAACGUGGCUCCUCCGGGAGUGUUAUAGCCCGCCGCUCAAUACCCUUGUGGGGACCGAGGUUCGCGCUCUGCAAGGACGCUGGCAUAAUGGUCAUCAGCGGCCCGUCUUGAAACACGGACCAAGGAGUCGAGGUUUUGCGCGAGUGUUUGGGUGUCAAACCCGCACGCGUAAUGAAAGUGAACGUAGGUGAGAGCUUCGGCGCAUCAUCGACCGAUCCUGAUGUAUUCGGAUGGAUUUGAGUAAGAGCGUAUAGCCUCGGACCCGAAAGAUGGUGAACUAUGCCUGAAUAGGGUGAAGCCAGAGGAAACUCUGGUGGAGGCUCGCAGCGGUUCUGACGUGCAAAUCGAUCGUCAAAUUUGGGCAUGGGGCGAAAGACUAAUCGAACCAUCUAGUAGCU